rnacentral:rRNA from 1 species
ACACAUGCAAGUCGAACGAUGAUCCCAGCUUGCUGGGGGAUUAGUGGCGAACGGGUGAGUAACACGUGAGUAACCUGCCCUUGACUCUGGGAUAAGCCUGGGAAACUGGGUCUAAUACCGGAUACGACCAUCUGGCGCAUGUCAUGGUGGUGGAAAGCUUUUGUGGUUUUGGAUGGACUCGCGGCCUAUCAGCUUGUUGGUGGGGUAAUGGCCUACCAAGGCGACGACGGGUAGCCGGCCUGAGAGGGUGACCGGCCACACUGGGACUGAGACACGGCCCAGACUCCUACGGGAGGCAGCAGUGGGGAAUAUUGCACAAUGGGCGCAAGCCUGAUGCAGCGACGCCGCGUGAGGGAUGACGGCCUUCGGGUUGUAAACCUCUUUCAGUAGGGAAGAAGCGAAAGUGACGGUACCUGCAGAAGAAGCGCCGGCUAACUACGUGCCAGCAGCCGCGGUAAUACGUAGGGCGCAAGCGUUAUCCGGAAUUAUUGGGCGUAAAGAGCUCGUAGGCGGUUUGUCGCGUCUGCUGUGAAAGACCGGGGCUCAACUCCGGUUCUGCAGUGGGUACGGGCAGACUAGAGUGCAGUAGGGGAGACUGGAAUUCCUGGUGUAGCGGUGAAAUGCGCAGAUAUCAGGAGGAACACCGAUGGCGAAGGCAGGUCUCUGGGCUGUAACUGACGCUGAGGAGCGAAAGCAUGGGGAGCGAACAGGAUUAGAUACCCUGGUAGUCCAUGCCGUAAACGUUGGGCACUAGGUGUGGGGGACAUUCCACGUUUUCCGCGCCGUAGCUAACGCAUUAAGUGCCCCGCCUGGGGAG